rnacentral:rRNA from 1 species
UAGGGAAUCUUCCGCAAUGGACGCAAGUCUGACGGAGCAACGCCGCGUGAGUGAAGAAGGAUUUCGGUUCGUAAAACUCUGUUGUUAGAGAAGAACAGCGCAUAGAGUAACUGUUAUGCGUGUGACGGUAUCUAACCAGAAAGCCACGGCUAACUACGUGCCAGCAGCCGCGGUAAUACGUAGGUGGCAAGCGUUGUCCGGAUUUAUUGGGCGUAAAGCGAGCGCAGGCGGUCAAGUAAGUCUGAUGUGAAAGCCCCCGGCUCAACCGGGGAGGGUCAUUGGAAACUGGUUGACUUGAGUGCAGAAGAGGAGAGUGGAAUUCCAUGUGUAGCGGUGAAAUGCGUAGAUAUAAGGAGGAACACAAGUGGCGAAGGGGACUCUCUGGUCAGUAACUGACGCUGAGGCUCGAAAGCGUGGGUAGCAAACAGG